GGAGGAGUGGCUGAGUGGCCGAAGGCGCAUGCCUGGAGUGCAUGUGUCCCUUUACGGGGACCGCGAGUUCGAAUCUCGCCUCCUCCG
rnacentral:tRNA from 1 species